rnacentral:rRNA from 1 species
AACGAACGCUGGCGGCAUGCCUAACACAUGCAAGUCGAACGAGACCUUCGGGUCUAGUGGCGCACGGGUGCGUAACGCGUGGGAAUCUACCCUUGGGUUCGGAAUAACAGUUAGAAAUGACUGCUAAUACCGGAUGAUGACGUAAGUCCAAAGAUUUAUCGCCCAAGGAUGAGCACGCGUAAGUUUAGCUUGUUGGGGGGGUACUGGCCUACCAAGGCGACGAUCUUUAGCUGGUCUGGGAGGGUGAUCAGCCACACUGGGGCUGAGACACGGGCCAGACUCCUACGGGAGGGAGGAGUGGGGGAUAUUGGACAAUGGGCGGAAGCCUGAUUCAGCAAUGCCGGGUGAGUUAUGAAGGCCUUAAGGUUGUAAAGCUCUUUUACCAGGGAUGAUAAUGACAGUACCUGGAGAAUAAGCUCCGGCUAACUCCGUGCCAGCAGCCGCAGUAA